GAAAGAUGUUCUACUGAGCACCUUGUACUCUGUGUAUUUGGUGACUAAAAACUUUAAUUUCAGCAAUGCUUGCAAGCUCUGGCUAUGAACUGACAAAAAUAUAUUGUGCAAGGGCUCAACAAAAUCAGUUUCUAUAUGAUUCAAACUGUUUUCUAGGUUAACUUCCUCAAAGUAAAAUGAGACAGGGUGAAGAAGUCACAAGGUCGCAGGGGGUACAUGACAUUUGUCUUUGGCUAAUAUUGGAGACAGUAAGAAAAUGCUUAGUUAGAGAUAUAAGAAAAAGCUUAGCUUUUAUAUAUUGUUUUAAGGAACUAACCGUUGUUGUUGUUUUGCAGUACUUGUGUAAUGAAAUCACAAGACAAAGCUCUAUAAAAACUUUGGAAUACCCUGGCCGGGGGGCAGAUGAAGGGCGGUGUCCUGGGACUGCGCUUCUCUGUCACUUUACCUUUGCCUGGUGUGUUUGAAUAAAAGAUUUUUUACUAACUUUAAAUAUAUCUCUCUGUCUUCAGUCACGAGAAACGACACCAUAGAAAAAGUGUCCACAGUUUUCUGGCGCCCGAACGUGGGACAGGAGACGACUGGCUGACUCCUCGAGCGGGACCACCUCAGUGAUCCGUCUUACCAGCGGACUGCCGUCAAUCUGAGCUCCGGCAGCAGAGUAAGCAGCUCCGGCAAAACUUAGGACUGCCCUGUCCUGAGAGGGCUCCUGCGUGAGGAGCCUCCGGUCUCCUCUUUGGCUACAUCUACGGUGACUGAACGGAUUUCCAGACAGAGUUUAAACACUUCCAGGCUGGGUCUUGCAGGUCUCCGAACCUCGUUGAAGGAAGUCCACCAGCAGGUUAAUCAGGCCUGGAGGACCAGCCCACCUUCUAAGGAUUCACCAAUUCCCUUGGGCACCUGGAUCCUGGUUCGAGACACUCGGAGGAAACACUGGCAUCAGCCUAGGUGGAGAGGACCAUUCCAAGUUCUUCUGUCCACGCCACAUGCUGUGAAAGUUGAAGGAUUGCCUGCCUGGAUUCACGCUUCACACUGCAAAAGAUGGCAUCCCUAACAUUCAUACUCAUUUUGAUUACAGUUUUACUGUUCUUCCUUCCAUUAUCCAUUUUACGAGUGACAUUGACUUUCCAGGUGGGGAAGACUGCCUCAUUCCAGGUUGACUUUUGUGUAAUUGUCCCCUGUAGUGGCAAACAAGAACAAUGGGAAGAGUUUGACAAAAUAUGUCUGUGUGAGCUACCCUUAUUAUGACUCUGAUUCAAGUUUUGAUUCAUCUGACUCUGAAUGUGCCUUCUGGAGUGAUGUGUUUGCAAAUACAGGACCACACGACUGGGGUUAUGAACCCUGGCAGGACACACAGUAUGGCCUAAAGACUCGAUUUUCUAUUAUAAAAGGACACGUCCCUCAUGACUGUGCUGAGAACCAUUGUAACCCUUUGAUUAUUACUUUAAAAGAUCCCUCUUCGCAGGAUUCAGGAACUUAUGUUUUAGCUGCAUAUGCAAGUGGUUCCGAUCCACUAGGAUUUUUUUUUCAAAUUAAGGUUACUAAUAAUUCCCAUGCUACUAAAACUUGCCAGCUUUCUUCUACCUUUCCUCCUGAUUCACAACAAACUCUUGUUAAAAUAAUGAAUGUUUCUACUCUUUCAUCCUCCUUUUCUAUUGUGUCCAAAUAUUUCACUGCUUCCAUGGCUAAGGCUUAUAUGUUACACGAGGAGCGAAUGCUCCAAUUCUCUUCCUCCUCUACUUCUACUCCUUCCCCUUCUCCUAUUCUUUCCCGUUCUGCUCCUAUCUAACCUAUAUUUUUGUCUGUUCAAAAGGGGGGAGUGUAGAAGAAAGAUGUUCUACUGAGCACCUUGUACUCUGUGUAUUUGGUGACUAAAAACUUUAAUUUCAGCAAUGCUUGCAAGCUCUGGCUAUGAACUGACAAAAAUAUAUUGUGCAAGGGCUCAACAAAAUCAGUUUCUAUAUGAUUCAAACUGUUUUCUAGGUUAACUUCCUCAAAGUAAAAUGAGACAGGGUGAAGAAGUCACAAGGUCGCAGGGGGUACAUGACAUUUGUCUUUGGCUAAUAUUGGAGACAGUAAGAAAAUGCUUAGUUAGAGAUAUAAGAAAAAGCUUAGCUUUUAUAUAUUGUUUUAAGGAACUAACCGUUGUUGUUGUUUUGCAGUACUUGUGUAAUGAAAUCACAAGACAAAGCUCUAUAAAAACUUUGGAAUACCCUGGCCGGGGGGCAGAUGAAGGGCGGUGUCCUGGGACUGCGCUUCUCUGUCACUUUACCUUUGCCUGGUGUGUUUGAAUAAAAGAUUUUUUACUAACUUUAAA